rnacentral:rRNA from 1 species
GUCCAGCUAUCCAACGUGCAUUUUGGGACCUACUACCUCUCGGCCUUGGUUACCCUGCGCUCCCAGACCGACAACUCCACCUCCUUCAAGCUGACCACUGUCUACGGCCCGACCCGUGGCAAUCUCAAGGACGCCUUCUUUGGCGAGCUUGCGUCCNNNNNNNNNNNNNNNNNNNNNNNNNNNNNNNNNNNNNGUGACUUCAACCAAAUCUAUCGAGCAAGAGAUAAGAAUCGCGCAAAUGCUGAUCGUAGCCGCAUUGUCCAUUUUAGAAACGCCCUAAACUCCUGUGAGUUAAAAGAGAUCCAUCUGCAAAACAAGAGAUUCACGUGGAGCAAUGGUCAAAGUGACCCUACCUUGAGCAAACUGGAUAGCUUCUUCUGCAAUGAGGAAUGGGACUUGGAAUUCGGUUCGCACAUCCUGCAUGGCCUUUCUUCCUCUCUAUCCGACCAUUGUCCGCUUCUGCUUGCAAAUGCGAAUGGCCCGAAACGUUCCAAGUGCUUCUGUUUUGAGAACUUCUGGAUUAGGAUGCCCGGGUUUCUGUCCACUGUCCAAGCGGCGUGGAAUGAAGACCAUAGCCAUGUCGAUCCCUACCACAUUCUCCAUCACAAGCUCAAGAAAACAAGUAUCAGGCUUAAAUCGUGGAGCAGAACUCUUUUCUCUAAUGUCAAGGUCCAGCUUCAUAUGGCCCUGGAGGUUAUCCUUCGCCUAGAUAUUGCGCAUGAAUCCAGAUCCCUGAGCCCCGUCGAGCUUGACCUU